rnacentral:rRNA from 1 species
UACAGGUGUUGCAUGGCUGUCGUCAGCUUGUGUCGUGAGAUGUUCGGUUAAGUCCGCUAACGAGCGCAACCCUCGUCGUAUGUUAUAUGUGUCAUACGAGACUGCCGGUAAAAAGCCGGAGGAAGGUGAGGAUGAUGUCAAGUCAGCAUGACCUUUAUAUCCAGGGCUACACACACGCUACAAUGGUCUGUACAAUGGGUAGCCAAGCCGCGAGGCGGAGCCAAUCCUGAAAGCAGGCCUCAGUUCAGAUUGCAGUCUGCAACUCGACUGCAUGAAGCCGGAGUUGCUAGUAACCGCAGGUCAGCAAUACUGCGGUGAAUACGUUCCCGGGUCUU